GAUGAACGCUAGCGAUAGGCUUAACACAUGCAAGUCGAGGGGCAGCACAAGGUAGCUUGCUAUCUGGGUGGCGACCGGCGCACGGGUGCGUAACGCGUAUGCAACUUGCCCUAUACAGGAGGAUAACCCGUCGAAAGACGGACUAAUACUGCGUAUGCUCACAACUUGGCAUCAAGUGGUGAGGAAAGAAAUUCGGUAUAGGAUAGGCAUGCGUCCCAUUAGCUUGUUGGUGAGGUAACGGCUCACCAAGGCAACGAUGGGUAGGGGAACUGAGAGGUUUAUCCCCCACACUAGUACUGAGACACGGACCAGACUCCUACGGGAGGCAGCAGUGAGGAAUAUUGGUCAAUGGGCGCGAGCCUGAACCAGCCAAGUCGCGUGAAGGAUGACUGUCUUAUGGAUUGUAAACUUCUUUUAUACGGGAAUAACAAGAGUCACGUGUGACUCCCUGCAUGUACCGUAUGAAUAAGCAUCGGCUAACUCCGUG
rnacentral:rRNA from 1 species